rnacentral:tRNA from 1 species
GCAUUUGUAGCUCAGUUGGUAGAGCACUGGAUUGAAGAUCCGGGUGUCGGGGGUUCAAAUCCCUCCGAAUGCA